CAUUGUUCUCUGCUGGAUUCUUCUUCAGUCAUGGAGAAGACGCCUGACAUGACAGAUGACCAGAAGAAAGUCAUUAACAUCCUUCACAAGGAGGGCUUGCUCGGUAUGGGCGAUUGAUGCAAAGACAGUGGCCUUAUGGAAUCCGCUUGACUUUCUGAGGUCCGCCCAUUGGGGAAGAAGUUGGUCCGUCCGGAUCUUUUCAUCAAGAACACACAACUGGAAGGGCAGUGAGAGCCGUCUUUUCCCCUUUUAUUAUUGUUCCUCACAUCCUCUCUCUGUGCUGAGACGAAGGGACAGACCUGAGUGAUGGCAUCUGGCGCAGGUGCACACCUACUCACAACACUGAGGCGGUUGGCAAACGCAGACACACUCACACCACCUGUGUCUCUGACACCCACAUCCCAGAGUUUGCACGUGCUCAUACGCAUACAGAGCGGAAG